AGUGAACGCUGGCGGCGUGCUUAACACAUGCAAGUCGAACGAGAACGGAUUAUAGCUUGCUAUAAUUGUCAGCUAAGUGGCGCACGGGUGAGUAAUGUAGAGGUAAUAUGCCUCUUACUAAGGGAUAACAAAUGGAAACGUUUGCUAAUACCGUAUACUCCUUAUUAACAGAAGUUAAUAAGGGAAAGAUUUAUUGGUAAGAGAUUAGCCUGUAUUGUAUCAGUUAGUUGGUGGGGUAAUGGCUUAACAAGACUAUGACACAUAACUGGUUUGAGAGGAUGAUCAGUCACACUGGAACUGAGACACGGUCCAGACUCCUACGGGAGGCAGCAGUGGGGAAUAUUGCACAAUGGACGAAAGUCUGAUGCUGCAACGCCGCGUGGAGGAUGACACAUUUCGGUGCGUAAACUCCUUUUAUAUGAGAAGAUAAUGACGGUAUUAUAUGAAUAAGCACCGGCUAACUCCGUGCCAGCAGCCGCCGUAA
rnacentral:rRNA from 1 species